GGGGUCGUCUGCUAGUCUGGUCUAGAGCUUGGGAUAGGCUACGUGGCUUGGGCCCACGUGAUCCGGAGUUCAAAUCUCCGCGACCCCACCA
rnacentral:tRNA from 1 species